UUGUCUAUGAGGUGUCUUUGUGU
rnacentral:piRNA from 1 species